rnacentral:misc_RNA from 1 species
ACAAACUUGGUCAUUUAGAGGAAGUAAAAGUCGUAACAAGGUUUCCGUAGGUGAACCUGCGGAAGGAUCAUUAGUAAAUUUGUGGAUCUGAAAGGAUUCAGAAUCUGACUUUGUGGUAUAAAUGAAAUUAGAAUUGGGUUUAAAGAUGAUGCUUUCAUUUGAAGGUAUCGACCCAAAACUUUUAUCAACUCUUUUAUUAUUUGACUGAUAUUAUCAAGUUAAUCGAAAGAUUAAAAAAAAGUUUAAAUAACUUUCAACAACGGAUCUCUUGGUUCUCGCAUCGAUGAAGAACGCAGC